ensembl:lncRNA
CUUCCACACAUAAAGGGAAAACGGACUCACUAGGAGGACCUAGACUCUUUCAGCUUGAACUGUUAACCAAUGGUGGAAAUGCAAGAAUGCUGAAGUUGUGCCUUCAGAGCCAAUAGAGUGGAUUUGUGUGUCCCACAUGACUGUGUUUCCCCUGUCUUUCACAUGGGCAGUAUUUAGUUCAAUUCAGAACUGCAGAUAGUAUAGCACGCAGAGCAGCAAUGGGAUGUCUGAGCACAAGUGGCUGACUUCCAGGCGACUUCAAGAAGCACAUUUGCACAUUUAUCCUGAAUUAAACUGGAAUUCUGCACCCUUGACAUCCUCCUACUCUCCUGGUGUCUGCGGAAGGAAACAGCGACCUGCACAGCACAACAAAACUACAAAUCAUCAGUGAUCUACAGACAAGCAAACGAAGUGAGCUGAGGGCAAUUUAACUACCGCCUUCUGUGUCAGUUCCCCAGAAGUCAAUGAGGCAUACUAUCGGGUCUCCAAGGUACAUCCCAGAGAUUAUUUAGUCAUGCUGUACAAUUAGGAAAUGAUUAGAACAAGCUGUUUUCUUCAAUUAAAUUAAGAUACUUGCAGCAGUGAGAGCUAUUACACUUUAUGGUAGACUGUACCUUUCAGAAUGAUAUGUACUAGCACUUUAUAAUGAUUUGUCAACUCAACCAACUGACCACGCAGCACAGUGGUCUCAGGUAUAAGGAAGAGACUCCACCCAUCUCACUUGAAUAAAUCCAGUAAUAAUAUCUGAGCUACAAAAUUCAAAGAAGUAUUUGAACACUAGUUUUCAUCAUGGGCAUUUUAUGUAUUUCAAGACACACCUGUAAGCCUUUUGUAAAAAGAAAUGAGCAAAAUAGCACAGUGUCUGUAUUAAUCAGAUGGCUUCAAGUGUUUAAACUUAAAAUGAUGCCUUCUAGUAAGCCAUGUGAAAAUCUCAAUUAUAGAAAUCAUUAUUCCAGGUAUUUUGUGCUAUUUUAUGUUCCCAGCAGGAUGUUUUUCAUCUCGUCAGGAGUUUCCAAGGCUGUUUAGUGUUUCUAUAUAUGUAAAAUACACUUAAGGGCCCCCAAAAGAUCUGCUAAUUAAAAAAGCCUAGUAAAGUGGUCAGACAGACUGGAACUCAAGUAUUAUAGGUAAGAGGGAAGAAAUGAAGGCUCGGAAACUAUAAUUUCUCUUUUUGUGGUAGCAGCAGAAGCAGCUGUUAUAGACUGAGCAAAUUAAAGAUGUGGCUGACAAAGCCAACAGUCUGGAAACAAGACGUUGCAAAAACAUAACAGCAAGUCAUAUGCACCCCACUUUUAAAAAGCCAAAAGUGCUGACCAUUUCUUUUUCUUCCUCCCUUCCUGUUAUCCUCGUCAGUCACAAAUAUCCUCCAGUUGGUAUCCUUCCAAUGCUUGCUCAACAGCUUUAAUUUCCCACUCCCGUCUUGUUAACUCCCAGGAGUUAAUAACUCCUGGGUCUUUGGACAAGUGCUCCAUCAUAGUGGGAGUUGUCAGCAAACAAGAAAGGACACUUCUAAAGGAAGAACAGGUGAAAUAACAAGAGAUACUGUUGUUCUGUGCAUUUAUUUUUGCAUGAGUCGUUCAUCAAAAAUGAAAAGAAUUCUUCUAGUACUUGACAGUAUUUAUCAUGCUUAGAGGGCAGUUUCAUCUGCUCAGUAAAAUCAGCAACUAAAAGUAGAAAGUUCUCAAAUUCAAGAUCAGAAAAAUUACUUCCAGUUUUUAGUCUGUUUGCCCUCAUUCUUUAUAAAAAUCAGUUAAAACUGAUUGUGCUGUGAACUAAUGUGGAUCUAUACUGUUUUCCAACUCUAAAAAGUGAUGGAGGCUCAAUGAAUUUUUGCAAAUAUAUAUAUGUAUAUACACACACACAUAAUAUAUAUAUAUAUAUAUAUAUAUAUUAAAAAAAAAAACAAACACAGAACCUCAGAGACCUUGAUCUUUCCUUAUAGCUGGUUGGGCUAUGGACUUCCUGUUAGAAUAAGCGUUUCACUUAGCUUUAAGGUCAAUUGUAUUGUGAAUUGCAAUUUACUCUCAAUUUAUAUUAGCAUAAAUCUGUGUACUAUUUUAGAGCUCAGAUUUUACAUGAUGAAUGAAUAUCCUGUGAUCUAUUUCCUCUAUGUCUGUUCGGACUCACAGUAAACUCAUCAAUUCUGUUUUGCAGUUGAUGCAUUUAAGUGCUGCCAUUUCAACACUUCUCUAACAAUGUACUUCAUUUUGCUGAAUUGAAGCAUUGCAGUGGAUUUGAGGCACACUGACAACUUAUGCAAGCAAAUUAGAUGCCCUGUUUCUUAUUGGAAAUUAGACAAAUUUAACCUUUAAAGGUGGCAUGGGGCCUUUUCCUGAUGUCUUCACAUGAAAACAAAUAUAUUGUCAUUUAGCAUUUCCAUAAAAGUGAAAGAAUACGAGAGAACAGCAAAAUAAUUCUGAAGGUUAAACAUCAUAUUUGGUACAGUUUUGUUUUUGUUCUCUCCCUAUUGAGAGAGUGGGUAUUGGAGGAGGUGCUUUGCAUCUCCUCCCACACCGUUUCCCUGCUUCAUAAGCAGAAACGAGCAGUUGGUUUUUUCAAGUCUAGUGGUUAGCUGACAUUUACCAUUAGUUGAUGCUUUUCAUUCUAUCGUAGCAAGAAAAAGAGCUAAAAGUUUACUUUGAAGAACAAAGAUUAAAUCUUUACUUUUCUAAUGCUCCUGCAGUGGAGGGGCCUGCCACCAAGGUUUUGUUGCAUAAGGAGGGACAAAAAGAUGAAGUGCUGCACUAAAGCAGACAACUGAGGAGUUCUGGCUUUACUGUUACUGUUCUGUCCACUAUACAACACUUCAUUGCAACUCCUGAUCAGCAGUACUGAUGUUAUUUUCUUCUCAGCCCCAGUCACUGACCGAUGUAGUGUAGAACACUGAUUACAUUUCUGACUUGACAAACUUGUUAUUUAGCAAAUGCCAUAAAAACCCAAAACUCCUGCUUAGAUACCUAUGAUUCAGCAACUGAUGUUAAAGGUGGCAGAAACGAGGAAAAGCUCUAAGACACCUCACAGAAAACACUACACUUCCAGAGCAAGGAAAACAUUAAACCCAGCUAAGACCUAUGCUGAAAAGGCAUCAUCAUCCUGCAAGCAACUGCACCGCAGUCUGGCUGUCCAACUUAAUUGUAAAAUAGACACAGAUACCGAUCUAAGCUUUGCAUUUCUGAAAUUUGUUGAAACAAACAAACAAACAACAUAGUUAUGAAUUUUAAAUACAUGAAGUUCGUAUACUAAAGUGUAGAUAUGAUACAGCGGUGUCAUAACUGCUAUUUCAAUAACAGAGCACACAUUCUAAAAUUAUUUUCAGGCAAAUAGGUAUUUUGAAUUCAUACUGAAAAUACAGAGUUGGCUCUUCUCAAAGGCAAGUUCGUGCACAAAAAAACAAACAAACAAACAAACAAAAAAAACACCCAGGAAACCAGAGGUCAUCUAAUGAAGAAAAUUCCCCCAAAAUCAGGAAUUUGGAACAAGUAAUCUGUAGCCAUUAACAGCCCACUAAAACCUUCAGUGGGAAAUCAACCUCAGAAGUUAGCCAGCCAGCAAUACUGUGUUUAUUUAACGGUCUUUUACAGAGCAGAAAUCCAGAGUAUGUAGCCUUUUAUCUGGUGAUAUUUACUCACGGAGUCUUAAAGAGGUAAUAUUAACAGGACUGCUGUAGAUACAAGAAGGAACUUGGAACAUGCAAUUACUGGAUGGCUCUGAACUUUAUCUGAUCUGCUUCGGAGUCACAGAAGAAAACCAUCCCAGACAGCUCAGUACAGAGAGUGUCAGAAAAUAGCACACUGAUUUUUUUCUAGGUGUAGGUCAGGACAUUUGAAAACAUACAUGACUAAGUAUGAUUUCUUUCCCUACAUCAGAGCUCUCAGGAUUGAGCAUCAUGUAGUCAAUUUUAAAGUUCAUACCAGCUCAACAUCCACAGAACUCAGUAGUGCAGCUGUUCACUGCACACCUUAAACAAGCAAAACUAAAACCUAUAGAAACAAGUCAAACUAAAAUCAAGGACCUAAAAUGAAGAAUUUCACGUAGGCAACUGGAAUAGAACAUGAAAACAACCUUUUCUCCAAGUCAGCAAGCUGAAAGCAUUAAGAGAAAAGCAGCUUGCCUCGAACCAUACACAAGAAGUCUUGAACAUUACUUCCUUUUAUUGUGUAUUGCAGUUAGGGGGCACUAAAUUUUUCUAAACAGUAUCCAGAUCACACUUUCAACUCCAGCCAACAAACAUCCGAAUGUCACAGCAGCCUUUCAAGAGAGUUUCAGCACUGUGAGGUGUUUAAAGAAAAACUGAAAUGCUUCAAAGAGAUCAAAUAUCCUCCAGUGCUACCUCCUUGUUCCCUCAAAUUAAAAAUGGAAAGCAUCUUUUCUGGAAAGUAGGCAGAACCUAUUUUUAGAAAUAAAGGAACUGAAGAAAAGAGAAGAAAAGCCCCAAACUUUAAAUACUGAGGAAACCCAUCUGGAUGGACAGCUGUAUCUGUUUCUUUUUUGCAACGUAGUAAUUCAGAAAUGCACCAAAAGUAUUUUAGUCAUAAAUACUGAGUCAAAAAACAUUAAUUACUAAAAAUCAUCUUGAAAAUUCAUCUUACGGGAACAUGAUCCAACUGUCACCUUUGUUUCCUCAGUGAUGUAAGUAAGCUUUAAAAAAAAAUUCAGAUGUGUGUGUUAAAGUACAUUUUUAAAAAAUCAAUAUCUUAGUAUGCAUACUAAAUCUUCUGAAAGAUUUUAGUGACUGUAUUUAGAAUUCAGACAUCAAAGGAGAUGCUGUAAUAGCCUAUAAUAAAACCAAGGUUUUACAAGUUUUUGUAUGAACUGAAGGGAAGGAUUCAGACGGACUGAUUUUUCUUCCAUAAAGAGCCAUUUUAGCUUUAUUAACAGAAUUCUCUCUUAUUUCAGUGGGUUUUUUGUUUUUUUGUUUGUUUGUUUUUCCAGCAGCACUCACAUGAGAGGAUUAAUUCUAGUUGUCACUACGCACAAACAGAGCAAAACAUCAGGUACACGUAUGGCUGCACAGACAGCAAAAUGCUUCUGGGCAAGGCUCAGGGGAUUAAAUGCAAGAAUUUUGCAUUGCUCCAGCCAUCUUUCUGUCCAUACAGAUACAGUUGUGACACUUAAUUGCAAAGAAUAAUUGCUACAUCUUUACUAUAGUCUACUUCUUUACUAGACAGCAUAAACAAGGGAUCUAUGUGUUACUGUAUUUCAGAGAGAGAAAGAGAGAGAAGUUUCGGCAAGUUUUUAUUGUGUGUUAUAAAGAGAGGUAUGUCCACAUUAUUUUUAUUUGCCUUUGGGGAAGGAGUUCGUGGCAAAUGAAAGAGGAGGAGAAGUCUUAGGCAGCGGUUGUUUUUCUUUUUUGCAGAUAGAUAGUAGUCUGAUAGUUAAGACUUGCACAGAAUAUUGAAAACCCAGGUUUCCAGGCCUUUCUCCAAAACUAACAGGACUCGGACAUUCCACAGCACACCAAAAACACCAGGCUAUCAACCAUUCUGGGGCAGCAAGGGGUCUUUUUUCUUUUCCUCAUGCAAAAGGCCUUCCCAGAAAAAUGUCCAUUGAAAAAAUGUUACUUUAAGACAUCUUAGGUUUUCCCCACAGGAGGAAAAAGAGAUUAAAUUUUCAACCAGUUAGUUGCAGUUUUGUUUAUGCCUCUAAACAAGAGGGGAAAACCUCUAGCUUAAUGAGAAAAAAAAAAUCCAAACAUUCUCUCUACAAAGUUCUAGUAAUACCUUUAAUCAUAUUACAAGCUUAAUGCAUUACAUUAAUUCGUUCAAUUAACACAGUUGGACUUUAAGAUCAAACAGAGAAGAAAGAAGACUGAGAUCCAACAAAAGUGUGCUAUAAACAUACUGUUUAAGACAUGCCAAGUAUUAUUUUAUGCUUGAACCCCAACAAAAGGCUUUCUCCCUGAGACAGUUGGUGUUCUGUCUUCCUUGUUGUUAUUUUUAUUGUUAAGUGGUCACAUAUCAGUUCUACUGCUUUGUUAAAAGCACUCUAAUUUCUUAACUCUGUGCAUAAUAGUUCUUAGGACACACUUUCUUGUGAUGGUAAUAGUUGAGAACAAACUAUUUUACAGAAGAUCACAAGCAUCAGAAUGAAGUACACACUGGGCAGACCUAUCACAACAGUAGUACACAAAAAACUGCAGUGUUUGGUAUUCUUUUCUGCUCUGAAGGGUCUCAUGUCAGGUAGCGUAAACUAACUCACUUUCUUUGCUGUUGAAUGACUUUUCCUAGCGCACUUCAUUUUAAUGCAGUUUACAUUUUAAAGUUCUGGAAAGACAGCUGCAGCCAUCUAAGGGCCAUGUAAAAUGCAGCUGUUACACACACUAUGGGACAAAGGCAACCAGUUUGGAGGACUCCUAUAUCUUCCCUUCCUCACAUACCCAACUAAACUCCAUUAUAAUUGGUGCAGUAUGAAGAAACUAGAAGAGGGCUAAUUGAGUUUAAAAGCUAUACAGUUGUAGCCUCAUUUAGGAAAUGCCUCCAGGCUUUCUCAAACAUUUAGUAAUACAACUAGAUCACAAAGCAAAGCGAAUAUUCAACUCUACAUACUCAAAAGGCAUAACAAAAAAAAUCCUUUUCUCUGUAUUAAGCCCACACAAUCUUCUCCAACAAAGUACUUCUAGGAAUUUGAGAAUCAUCUCCUUUUUUUCUAUCCUGCAGGCUGAGCUGUAUACUGUUGACAGUGACUACAAAUGUAUGUUGCAAUAAUACAUCAUCAAGUGAAAUCAAGACCCUAUUUCAUUAGAUCUUGUUUAAAUAACUAUGCACAGGCAUAUAAUAUAUGUGAUUUUCUAGAAGAAAUGGCCACAGAUAGUUUGGGAACAGAAAAACUGUCCCUUGAUUCUCGAAGGGACUGAAGCCUAAACCACAUUUCCUGUAACACAAGGUGAUUCCUGUACACCAGAAGAUGACACGCAGCUGACAUGACAUAGGGAGGAAUUGAUAACACUGUGAAUUUCAAAAGCUGAGUUUGGAGAGAAUAACUAUGAAGCUGUUUCAUCCUCCUGCUUUUAUUUAAGCUAGCAUCGCUAAAAACAUUAGCGUUUUGUUUACACUGGAUAGUUCUGAUUGAGGAAGAUAUAGAUGAAAAUGUCACUAGCCCAGCUAUUCUGAAGCUUUCUUUGCUGUAUAUUUUUAAAAACAACACAGAUGAGUGUAAGUCCUAUCAUUCAUCUUUAAAGACAAAGUAAAGAGAAAAUCUAAGGCUGGUAUCAUCAGCAUGCAUCUCAAACCUUUAAACUAGGCCCUUCAGGUGCCAAUGGAGCAUGAACUGCAAUGCAAGCUGUAAAUUCAGUUCUCAGGUGAUGAAUUUAUGCAAGGUUUCCUAUGAUCACGGUUUAUACUGAAUUCAAGCUUUAUUAAGCUUUUAGUGCCCUGUAAGAACAGCUCCAUGGAACAGCAGGAGAAACACCAGAGCUAAACAUCUAAAAAUGCUUCCAUAGGUGGUUUUUAAUUCUCCUCCAUAUACACACUGAAAUCUUAACUAUAGAUAAAGAAACAAAUUUGAUGAAUAGAAGCUUUUGACCGUUAGUUUUGUUACCAUACAUGUAGCUUUAGGUACUAGAUAAUUCUUCCCUUAUGUAGGAUUCAAGAUGUCAUUAUUAUGCCCUCAAGCCUAAGUGCCAAAUGAUUUUCUUGCUGUCCAAAAGCUAUAACACCACAUCACACAGCAGAAUAGGAAUUUGUAGAAUUCAGUGUUCAUGAUGGCAGCUGGGACUGCACUGCUACAUCAAGAAGGGAAUUGCACUCUCCUCAGAGUUUUAAUUGUUUAAAGAACACACUCAGAGCUUUUACCAGAAAAGUAACAACUAUGCUGGUUUCUUGAAGAAACUUGAGUUCAAAACGCUUACUAGAAAAAAAGUUGUCUAAGUGUAUCUCAUGCUUGCAUGACAUGAAGACUUUGUGUAUGUUCAUUUUCCAUUUAAAACUCAGUUGAGCAUGGAGAAUGGUUUCAGUUCAGAAGUUAUUCAGAAGUUACUUCUUAAAUAGGAAGUUAGUGCUAUACUUAAAAUUUUUCUUUUAUUUUUGCAAAACCUUUUACUUAAGUAGAGAUUUUUCCAUUAACUCAUACUCUGAUCUUAAAGUUUGCAAAAACGUUAGCCAUUACUUCUCUCAAGUUGUCUUUUGCAUUCAUGUUAUUCCGUAGAGGGGUUUUGCAGCAAUAAUUGUAAGAAAAUCUAUUCAUUUCCAUUUGACUGAAUCGCGUUGUAUGACAGGGAAGUGACUACUUGCAACCUUGAUCCAUGUCAGCUAAAUACAGCCAGGCAAGCAUAAGUUCUUACCAUAAUGGUUCUCAUGCCCUCUCCAGCUUUUUCCAAAACCCAUAUACACCAUUAGACACACAUUUUUCUUUCCUGUACAGUUAAGGCACAGGAUUGUGGCUUACUAAAAAUUUCAUUAUUAUUCAUCUCUGCUGAUUCCUGUAGGAAUCCUGACUAUAGGCACCAGAUAGUAUUUGAAUACUAUCAUUUUUUUCUGAUCAGCGUGUGCACAUCUUCCUAUCACUUUUAAACGCUCUCAACUAAACUGUUACUUAAUGCUUCAGCUUUUUAGUUUCCUGUACUUACUAUUCCACUUUUCAGAAGCUGUUUUUUUCCCCCCUGUUGAUUAUGCUGUUACAGUAGUUUUCAGAGUACGCUUGAGGAGUACAUUCAGUACUGCCUUAAAGGCCAUAAAUUUUCCAUUUGAAGUCUCUGAAGUAAUAUCAGUAAUAGAUAAUGCCACGGUUAAGAGAUCAGUACCAGUCCAGUAUUUGUUUUAUGAUUCUGAUAACGUAAAUGAGGUUGACAGAAAUUAGUUCAUAUGCUGUUCAAAAGCUGAUAGUUUCACAUCUGUUAACAUGGGCGAAGAUAUGACCAUUUCUGAAAUACUUUAACAUUUCAAUUCCAAAAUUUAUUCACUUCCUGAAAUCAUCUGAUAAUUCUGAUCAUUAUGAAGACCAUUAAGAUCAAGAAGAUGGAAGAAAGUUGAUGCAAAUACACUGCAAUUUUUUCUUCACCAUUUACUCUAAGUUUUCUCCUCAGAACAAGUAGAAACUUUUAUAGGUGAAGAUCACAUCCAUGGAAUAAAAACACCAGGCUUUUCUCUCUCUGUCUGCAACACCUCACAAGUACUAGCACUUUGGUUUGUGAGAAGCUGUUACGAUACUCCAAAGCUUUUCCAGGCACUUAUUAUUCUUACAGACACUUCCAGUAGAUUGAAAGUGAUUUCAGCAGCGGUGCUUAAUUUCUAGGUAAAUCCUAGUUUUCUGUGGCUUUCAAAAAUGAGGGGAAGUCGCAGCCUACCAACCAAAACGUUGCCAACAUGGGUGCUAAGAAACCACCAUUUUCCAUAAAACACAAGCAGAACUCCAGUACUCAGUCACUUCCAACAAUAUUUUCAGCAUUUCACAAAUACAAAUUUGAUGGUUUCAGCACAGUAACAUGAGCUCAUUUCAUCUUACAUGGAGAGAAAGACAAAAAAAAAAGUUUACCCCCAAAUUCACAUCUCAGUGUGAGUAACAUGUGAUAAACCAUGACCUACAUGCACAGGGACACAAGUCUGCAAACAGAAUUUGGGAAGUUCAACACAUGAAGUCAAACCUCUCAUUAUUGGAAGUGCUUAAUUUGUCAGUAGUGGAUACACACUAGGCUGUGUUAGUGAGUAUUAAUAAACAUACCGACAAAGUGCAAUCAUGUUCAUCGGAAAGGAUUUUCUAAGUAAUGAUUCCUGUGAUAUAUCAAGGAAAAAAAAUCUAAGGUAGGAACCAAAAGUUCAAGAAAUCUUAUUUUACUGUUUGCGUUACUAUUUCUGUUGUGCUAUCAAGCAAAAAAAUGGAACAAAAAACAGACCUAAGUACAUUGGUAGGAUAAUGAAAGAUGAAACUAGCAAUAAAUAUAAUAGGAGGAAUUUGCACUUGAGUCGAGGUAAUCCCAUAUACGCAUACAAAAUAGGAGAAAAGCUCCUUCAGAGUAGCCCUGCUGAGAAGGACCUUAAGGGUUCUGGUUGAUGAAAAACUUAAUGUGAACCAUCAGUGUGCACUUGAAACCCAGGAUACCAUUGGUAUUCUGGGCUGCAUCAGAAGAGGGGAGGCCAGCAUGGUAAGGGCCGUGUUUGUACCCCUCUAUUUUCCCUUUGUGAUGCCCCAUCUGGAGUACUGCAUCCAAGUCUGAGUCCUCAACACAGAAAAGAUGGGGAGCUGUUGGAGAGGGCCCAGAGGAGGACCACAGAGAUGAUCAGAGGGCUGAAGCACCUCCCCUGUGAAGACAGGCUGAAGGAACCAGGCUUGUUCAGUCUGGACAAGAGAAGGCUACAGAGAGACCUCAUUGCUGCCUUCCAGUAUUUAAAGGGAGUUUAUAAACAUGAGGGAAAUCAACUCUUUGCAAGGGUAGAUAGCAAGAGGACAAGGGGGAUGGUUUUAAACCCAAGGAGGGGAGAUUUAUCUUAGAUAUCAGGGGGAAGUUUUUCACUGAGAGAGUGGUGAGGUGCUGAAACAGGUUGCCCAGAUAGGUUGUAGAUGCUCCAUCCCUGGAGAUGUUUAAGACCAGGUUGGAUGAGGCCCUGGGAACCUGAUAUAGCACUUGAUUUAGCAGCUGGCAGCCCUGCCUGGGGUAGUGGAGGUGGAACUUGACUAUCCUCCCUUUCCAUUCAAGCCAUUCUAUGAUUCUAUCAAAUAAAGAAAAGUCAUGUUUUCACAAAACCUGUAGACCAAAGACCCAAAAUGUGGUUAUUUUACUCUAGACACUUAUGAAUAACAGCAGUCAAUGAAACGAUGAUCUUUACAGUAAAGAAGACGGAAACUGUGCAGCCUUAGAGCACGCUACAAGGUUAUACUAGUUUCAUUUCCUAUUAGAUGUUUAUAGAAAACUUCACCUUUAUAGAUUUUGAGAAACCUGUUCUAGAGGGAGAUGCGCCUGCCUAUAGCGGGGGGUUGGAACUAGAUUUAUCUUAAAGGUCCCUUCCAACCCAGACCAUUCUAUGAUUUACUACUUACAGAUGUAGUUCUAGUUAGGACUAGUUGGACUUCCUGACAAAGACAUAUUAUUUAAAGUCACUAAACAUAUCUAUGAAGAGCUCCCUCUGCCUUCUUUCAAAACUAGGAAGUACUGAUUGCACUCAUUCAGAGUGGUUUAAGUGAAAAUUUUCUUCACUCCUAUUCAGAAGGGAAAAAUCACAAGACUGCUGCUUUCACUUGGCCAAUGUACCUUUGUGUAUUUUAUUGACUGCUGUGAUCAGACUUCCUUUCAAAACCAAAGCAGUCAGAUUUCUUUCUGCACAUCCUAGUAAUCGAUUUUGAAAGAUCCCGAGUAGCUAUAUAACUGUACAGGAUCAGGAGAAAAUCAUCUGAUCAUUGCAGAUUUCUAGUAGUUAGGAGACCCUGGAUAACAAAUACCAGAUGAAGACAAAUUUCAAUAAGUAACUUCUGCUAAACCCCAAGCUUCCUAAAUCAAUGCAAUAGCCUUAUUUUCUUCACUUUUAUUCACUUCUGUAUAAAAUAGAUAAAUUUCAUCUUUCUUCUAGCAGAGAAAUAGGCACUGAAUUUUAGGUAUGAUUUUUUUUUUUAAGUGAGAAGAAGGCGGCAUACAUAUGUGCAUGUAUUUACCACACUUGGAGUAUGAAGCUUGUUUCAGAAAACAGUCUUUAAAAAAAAAAAAACCAACAUUGCUUACCUAUGUCUUUAGCAAAUACAAAUAUUACUAUUUUUUAUUUAUUCACAAAACUAAGUGGAUUUUAAAUUUGUUAGCCCUGUGUGAAUAUUUUAAGAGUCCAUGCACUUAGUCUAAAUUGGAAACAGCUAACAUACCUUGUAUAAUACCAGACUUGUCUACAAUGAACCAGUCUAAAUGAAAAAACGCAAUUUACAAAGGCUUCAUUCUUUUGUUUGCAUUCUAGCAGUAUAAUGAAGUAAUGUGUCCUGCUAGAAAUCGUGGAGUACUUAAAACAAGUUCCACUUACAGAGCAUUUCUUCUCUUCUGAAAUACAUACUUAAAAAUGCUUCACAAUUAACAUAUUGUAUACAUUUUGCAAGGCCCUCAAAGAUCAAGAAUUGUAUCUGGAAAGACUCAGUCCAAUCUGGCAAACAAUUACAGCAUACAUUACACUAAGGUGCAUUAAAUGCCUGGCUGCUGUGAGGGUACAGAAACGUGCUUACUCACAAUCGAGUCCAAUAACCAAAACAAAGUCAGUUACAAUUUAAAAUGGAAGUUGAAAAAGAAAAGAAAAAAAGGAGAGACAGGGGAAGGACAACAAGUCUAAAAGGCUGUGGACUUCACACCAGCAGAGUGGAAACAAAUAGAAUAUUAUAGCUGGGAUGCAGUCACAGGACUCUGUGCAACUCUGUUACAGCUCAACACCAAUAGCUUCUGGUGAAAUUAGUUCUGUGUGCUACUUCAGUGAAAGUAUAAAGAACCACAUUCAAAAGCCAGCAGCACAAAGAAAACAUAGUCAUGACUAUUCACAAUAGAGAACUCUGUACUGAAUGUGUGAACUGGACAUGGGUUAGGCAAAAUGCAAGCAGCCUCCCUUUGCCUGGGAUUUUCGUAGCGAUGCAAGCCAAGCAAUCUAAACAGUAAUGUCUGUCUGUGUUAAGAGGAAGGGAAGAAAUAAAACUCCACAGCAACAAAAACUGCAUUCCCUGUGGAAGAAUGGUAACUUGGGACAACAUUUGGCACCACAAGUUCAAAGGGUCAUUUUAUCAGCAUUCUAAGUAUAGACCCAGAGAUUUUACAGUAUUCCUGUCUCCAUGCUAUUGCUUUUUAUGCCAUUCAUGGCGUUUAAAUUAUAGACCCACUGCAGCCAUGUAGUCAAAACAACACAUCAUCUGAUGAGACACUAUUAUAAAUGUCAGUGUGCCUGUUUUAACUGUUCUUUCAUAUACUGUACUUCUCAUCAAUCACUCUCUUUCUCUGCCAAAAAAUGGAUACAAGAGACGAUUUUAUCUUCAGACUCCACUGAAAUUUUGUACUCCGACAACUGCAAUACUUUGUUCAUCACAUAAUCUAAACUCCCAUUUACACUCAUGAAAUAUUUAGAGGUACAAAUAAUACCAGGCUAGAUGAAAAACCAUUUGUGGAGAAUUUAAACUGCAAAUCCAGGGUAUUUUUAGGGAGUCAGUUUAAUUGAAGCACAUUACACUAACUUCUAAACUAAACGCCUGAUCAAGUAUUUUUAGUGUGUGGUUUCAGUAUACAUUCCAAAUCUACUGGAACACUAUAUUCUAGAGGCAAGUUAUUGGCCUGUACACACACAUAGUUAUAUAGCACUUUGACAGCAUCUUUAACAGGAAUAUAUUCCAUUUCUAAACUGUUCUGUGACAGAAUUUGAACUUUUCCUAAAUGAUCCUGAAAAGUUAAAAUAACUCAUAUGAAGUCAUUAAUGGAGCUACAUACAGAAUCCAAAUUUGGUCUUGUGUUUAAAGCUUUUUCUUCUCAAAAGUGAAAAGAAAGCUGCUUCAAGGUCACAAAACAUUAUUUUUGGGGUGGAGGGGGGGCAGGGAGGGAAGGGUAGUUCUGCUCCUUUAAGCUGGUCUCCUGUCUCUGCUGGCAGCCCUCAAACAGCUAGCUCCAUUCAACAUGAAAGAGAUUAUUUAAGAAUGCUCUAAAUUUCCUAAUGUUUCCUAUUUUCUGCAAUUCCACGUAUGUGCUAUUCAUCAGCUCAAACAUUCAAAUCUCAAUGUUGUGUUUUAAAGUAUUUUCACUAAGAAAUAAAAAAAAGGUUUUUAAACUGCAGCUGAACAACAGUUUUAUUGACAUAUUUCUAAUGCCUUAUGCAAAUGAUUUUUUGCUGAUUGAAUGUAUAGUUUCAACUCAGAGGAGCUAAGUAUCAGGAAUCCAUUCAGUUUUUUGAGCAUGUAGCCAACUUACCAAUCCUAACUACAGCAACUGAAUAUAUUCCACAGUUCAGUUGAGCUUUUACAUUUUUUUUUUUUCCAUGGGGCUGGGGAGGCAGCAUACUUUCUCCCCCUGGAGUGUUGAAAUCAUUUCCAUUACAAAGGAAAACCGUUUUUGAUACUUUACAACUGACCUUGCUAGUUUUAUUCUACUAUUUUUCCCCUACAAUUUCAUGUCUUUUUCUCUUCCUUUGCACUCCAUUUUAAACUUCAUCCAAAGAUUACAAUUGCACAGAAGAGUAUAAAAGCAAAAUAAAACUCCCCCAGCCCUUCUCAAAAUGAAAUACAUUACAGGUGCUGGAGAAAGUUAUGCAGACGUGAAGAUCUCAGACCACAUUCUUUUUUCCUUAAACAAAAGCUCUCAAACAGCUGACAGAAACACGCAGAAGUAGAUCUACUUUUUAAAGUCUUGGGCUGUCUGAAAUAUUUUUACUGACAAGUGCUUCUGACUAAGUUCCACAAAGCCUUACUGAAGCAUACUGAGAAUGGUUGAGAUUAGACACUCCUGAAUUAAGUGAGAUUGGAAAGGACCCCAGUGCCUUCGCUAGUCCAAAAUCCUGCUUAAACCAGUGCAAAAUCUGACAUCACCCUGUGCUGGCAGCUCAUCUAACCAUAUUUUAAAAAUUGCCAAGGAUGGAGAGAUGUUUUUCUUGGUGUUCAACUCCUUCAGUUCAAGGGGAAUUUACCCUUCAACUAACUGUAAAAAUACAAGGUAUUCUCUUCAGAUGCCUGACCUGCUUUAAAAGCCAUGGUUUUAAAAGACCACCACAUGCCCAUAAUUUACAUUUCACAUGUAAGAAGAGAGAGGUUACUGGAUGAAUACUAGAAUAUUGUAUCCUGUAUCUUCUCUAAUAUCAGGUCCAUUUUUGAUCUUACUGAUGUGCUUCUGUUGACAUCGUCAGUAAAAAUUCAUAGUUGUGGCACAAAAACAGGGAGAAGACUGCAUUUAAACACAAACCAAAACCAAAUGAGAAUGAUCUGCACCCUCUGCAUCCCUUCUUACGAACCAGCAAGAUGUUUAUACUUAGUUUGCUCUGAAAGUAAUGCCUCCUACUUCAUUCCACAGAAAUUACAGGAGAUACGAAGAGCACAAUAACUAUCUGAUAGAGCCAAGUUUCAGCUACUAAACACCAUUUUUAACACAGUCUCCACCAUUUGCUAUGCAUUUUUGCCAGCAAUGAAUAAGAGCCUGAAUGCUUCAGUUGUAAAAACCAGCACCAGCAGAAGUGUCCCACUGUUUCACAGCUGCUAUGACAUCAUUGCUAGGAAAACACCAACACAGUCCAUCUUUCACUGGCCUGAACAGAUGGAAUUCAGAAGGUGACAAAUCCAGACUGUACUGUGGGUGUGGUAGGACAGUGCAGCCAAGAUUGACAAUGCUCUCCAUUGCUCCAUUGUCUUCAAACUGGUAUAGGGCCUCAUCGGAUUGAGUUACAAGAAAAAGGUUGUCUUCUUCUCUAGCCUGACUCAGGAAGUUCAAGUCCUCAGCUUAGUCAGCGUCACGAUGCAGCAGUAAGCACUGAUGGUUUAGCCAGGUUACAAAAAAUGCAAAAUGAUCAUCCCUUUCCUAUCCCAAAAGACAGGCACAUCACUUUACCCACUAAGGGCUGUAUCUGGAACAUUUUUUUCAAUGGGGAAUUUCAAUGUCCACUCGAUGGACUGCCAUUUUGACCUCAGCUCAUAGAGGUGACAGCAGGUCUCAUCACUGGUAAUGGUGUGACCCAGAAAACUCAUCUUCAGCCUCACUUUGGUUCAAUAGGUCCUGAAAAAUUUGCAUACAUGUUCUUUCUAUUGUUGUGUGUGCAUUCGUGGCACCCAUCUGGCACAAAUACUGCAAUAUUUCAACAUUGCCACCAUCAUUUCUAAUACACUAAAAGCUCAUAUUCAGCUCCAUACCCGGGUCCCCACUCCUAAUCCACUGAUUCACCCAGAUGAGCUGAUCAAGAUCUAGAUUCCUCCUACAUGGAGGAAUUCAAAGACACACCUUUGCUUCAUACGCACUUCUAUGUCAGAUGCCUUUGCCAGAGUGCCCUUCUGCUGCUGUCUGUCACACAGCAACAAAAUGUAACUGAAUAAUUGGUGGGAAAAUUCAAGCCUCUCCUUUAGUACCACCAACAUCCACCUCUGCUGUCAUGGGCCAACAUAAGAUAGGAGGCAUUACUUUCAGAGCAGCCCUCAUAUAUUCAAAAAUCCAGCCAUACAUAUUUUAAUUCUUUCCUUUCAAGUAUCAGGCAGCUACAUUUUUACAUGUGAUGGAACUGAAUGGGACAUACAGUACAAACAAGAAGUCAGCUCUGGGCUUUUCACUUCUAAUAAUCAAAUUCAUAAGACCGCAGAGAAGCUUGUAGCAGGGAUACCACCCUCAUGAUUUUAAAAUGAGGUUGUAGAUUUUAUGUUAUGAAAAUUAAACAAAUGAGAACAAAAUUCAAGAUAUUACAUUAGAGUUUCCAUAUCAAUUUAAUAAUUACUUUUAUAAUCAGACGAUUUACCACAGAUACUAUCUAGAGUAUAAAUGAAUUAGCAUAAUGCAUGAACUGAUUUGCUGAGCUUGUCCAGAGACCACUUUUUAAACUGCAGACUUUGACACACAUUUUUAAUAACAUCCUUAGCAGUUAAAACGUUAUCAAGUUUCAUGAUCAAGUUCCUACAUCCGAUAUGAAAGAAAUAGAGACCCAUUUUAUCUUCUUGGAGUGCAUUUUUGCAAUGUAUUUGAGUUUGAUCAUUAGAGUAUAACUGGAGUCAUGUUUUUGCUUCCAACCAAUAUACCCCCACUGAAUAGCAGAGGAGUCCCACUGUUCCCAUGGGACAUAACGUAGAACAAUGCUGCAGUGAUGGAAUAAGAUGCAGGGAAGGUGGAGGGAUGAAAAAAAGAAACAAUCAGUAUCCUUACCAGGCCUGCACCAGGCAGUAUCCAUCUUAGUCAUAAUACCUCUUCAACUACACUUCAUAAGCUAUUGCACAGCACACCUCUCACAAGAAUAGGCAUGUUUUCCAUGUUUCCACGCUUGUCUCAUUUUACAUAACCAGAAUUUGUUCACCCUCACUGUCUCAAUAUAAUGAAUGAGAAAUCAAAUGAGUCAGCAAGAUUCACACCACUGCACUUUUUCCUAACCAGUUUUUCCAAGAAUCCCCAAAGGCAUCAAGAGAGAUGUGGAUUGUUUUUGAUUACCUGAUCUUACAAAGAAGCAAACAAGUCCAAGAACUAUUAGCAUAACAUUUCAGUAAUAAAUUUACAAUGCAUUCAAUGAGGUGAACAAAGAUAAAGAAGCUCAAAACACAGUUGACUCCUUCCGAAGCCUAUUAAGAAUUGUUUGGUAAAAAGGAAAAACCUUUUUUUCAGGUAGACUAUAUUUGAUAUACUUAGAAUAAGUUGAACUUUGUAGAUCAUCAAGGCUUAAGGGAAAACUGGUCCUACACUAGUACUUCUUCAUAUUAAUAAUUUUAAAACAAAUAAUUUAUCCCAGAGCUGUUUCCUAUCAGUUUUACUCCAAUGAAGAGCUCGUAAGUUAGCAUGCUCUCUUCAUCUAGGCCAACUACUUGCUGGCAGAAUGAUAAGCAGAAAUAAAAACCAAAAGUUCCAUGUAAAAAAUAUUUUAUCUUCUCCAGUUUGCUUUUGGUGUGGCUUAGCUAAAAGCUAUUUUACAUACUAAAAACCCUUCUUAAUCCCUCAAACUCAGAUAUUAACAUUUUCAGCUAGCGAAGCCACUUGCGUUAAACUAUUUUUAUAAAUUAGGUGCCUAGAAUUUGCAGUCGAAGCUAAAUUCUUUAAUCAUGGAAACAGACUUUUCAGUUCUGAUUCGCCUGCUAAAUCUCUUCCUGGAGAACUAUCCAGCAGGAGAAAAUGCAUCCUAUGUACAGAUUUCUUGGCUGUACUGUCACAUAUCACCAGGAGCCGUCACUUCAGCAUAAGGAACAUCAAAUUAUGCCUAAGAGGAAAGCAGAACAGCCAGUAAAGAAUAAGACGAGUCAGCUUAAUCAAGCUCACAAUCAUUACAUCUUUUUUGUUAGAGAGGAGAAAACAAAAUAAAACCCUGAAGACGUAUUAGCGCAACAAAGACUGAAGUUAUAAAAAUUACAAAACAUUGCAAUUACCUUCCAAGCAUCUAUACUCAACAUAUCCAUUGAGAUUUAUGUCUAGGCAGCAAUAUAUACUGCAUAGAGAACUGUGCACAUAAGAGGACUGCCAGAAACCAUCAGAUUUGAAAGAGCUCCUAAAGUCAUCAGGGGAAUGAGAGUCAAGAGGUAUAGAACUGCAGCCACAAAGGUAUGGAUUUAGCGUUGCUGCCUUCUACCAUUAGGAGGAACUCAAUAACUUUUCUCUCAGCUAACAAAGGAAUAAGCAGUUUCUGCUGCUUUCCUCUGAAGAAAUAGCUUUCACAGCCAAGGCAUGGAGGACCUGAAUUCAAAUUCCAACUUCAAUGAUGAGAUUUUUGAAACCCAAUCUACUCCCUAUCCACUACCUGGUAUGUCAGUGCAAGGAAUGCUCUCAAAUGCUUUCUCCAUAGGUUUCAGCACUUUGCAAAGAGCAACUGAGUAUUCACUUGGCAGCAAAGAGUAUGCCCAGCUACAGUGUAGUAACUGAGCCACCAGCCUCCCUUGUCUUGGGCAUUUGCUCCAAUGCCUGCCUGCUUGCAGCAGCAGAAGUGCCAGGGGAGGGAGCUGCAGCUGCCUGCAACCAGCUGUGCAAGGAGUACUGAAGUGAGGCCAGCACCAGUCUGGCCCAGGCUCUGGGAAACUCAUUUGACGGAUGCCCUGGCGACCAAGGCCUUUGGGCAACUCUGUGGUGAAAUAAACUCUGAAUAAGGCUUUUGAGGACAGUUGAUUCAUUUAAGUACUCUGGCCUAGCACCUAAACCAGCUGUGGCAUAUAUUUCAAGAAUAUAAAGCAGCUUGAUAAGGCUUCAUUAUUCUCAUUUUUUAAUGGUGGUUUUAAAUGACUAAUAUAAAUUAUUUGCUUACUGUAAGUGUGAUUGGAAAACUUAUUCUGUUCUUAUACAAUCACAUUUAUCAGUAUUCUUUUAAAGAUCCAAAGAUUCUCUAGAAACCAGAAAUGUAAUAAAGAGGCAUUCAUGGUUGUAGAGAUUUGUUGGCACAUUAGCAUUACUUAUUCUGAGCUUCAUUUUUAGUUUCCAGUAUGCCAACUCUGCAUAGAUAUCAUCUCUGUGGUGGGAGCAGGGUGCAGCUGAACAGCUUCAUAGAUAUUCUGCUGGUUGGUGGUGUGUUACAUGUGCAAAGCAGUUUGGUGUUGCUAUUUAGACUUGAUUGGCAGCAAAACACUUCUUGUUUAAAAUAGAAUUUCCAAAUUCACUAAACACAAGUCUUGGCAAGUGAAGAACUGAAUGUCAAGUACCACAGUAGAUGAGCAUAAAGACAUUGCAUACAGUACAAGAUACCAAAGGAAAUUAAAUAAAACCUUGAUGCCAUUUGAGUCCAGUUCAACUCUUUAACCACACAGGAUGGCAAGAUGUUUGUUACAUAACAGCAAAUUCAGAUGGCUUUUUUUUUCUUUUUUAAAUCCUGCCAUUUUUAUAGCAAAGAGCAGAGGAUUAGACAUCCACAGACUCUGAGAGACAGAGAGUGGAGCCAGAAGCAAUAUUUAGCACAGAGUGAAUGAUUCCUGGCAUCGUUUAACUUCUCUACAUCAGGAAUCUGGCAGCCUCUUUUCAAAGAUGCUGAUUGAAUAGUUAAUAUCAGUGUUAUGCAUAGGCUCAAAAUGAGCACAAAAAAAUGAAUGUCUAGGACCUAAGCCCCCAACUUACUUUCAUCUCUCUAUAAAAUACAUACAUACAUAUAUAUACACACACACACACACAGAAAAUGGUGGGGGCAGGGUGGAAAUACCGGGCAGAAUGCCAAAGCCAAGAGAAUGCAGACAAAGGGCAUAGUUCAUCUUCUGACUACACAUCUGUGAAAAAAACCUUUAUACAAUAUAUAUCAAAUUUUUUAGGCACAAGAAAGCCAUAAUGCAACGUAAACUGCUAGUUCUUAAUUUUCACCAGACAGCAUAAUCUGCAAAGUAUGGAAUUUUUUUUUUUAGUCAGUAGGAUUAUCCCUGUUUUCUCACAGAACUGUAAAGCUCUAGCAAGUCUUUCUAAUCAUAAAGAUAGCACAUUUAUAGUCUUUCACCAUACUUAGGAAUUUUGAACUACUGAAACCACAACUAAUCACCCACCAAGCCUGCAUGGAAAUCUGCUGAUCAUUUAAGAAAAGCAGCCUUGUUUUGUUGCCAAAUGUCAAAAUGCAACUAAGUGGUGAGAUGCACACACUGAUUACUCUUGCACUCUAACGUUUGGCAGAAAAAUAUUUAUGCACACACAAGGACGUGUUUAUAGACUUGCACUUUGAGAAAACAUGAAAGACGACAAACCAAAUUGGUUGACAUCCUUAAAGGGGAAGAGGCUAGUAAAAGAAUAAAUACAUUAUACUGGGCCAUAUAAAAUGGUCCAUCAGAAGCACGCUUUCCACAAUUGAGUUUUUUUUUUUUAAUCCAUGCAGUGAAAUUCUUCCCAUUUGUCUGACAUAAUCAAGCACCUGAAAUGCACUUUUAGAACUAAUCCAGCAGCAUAGGCCCAACCUAGGUGAGGUUUCUCAGAUGUGGGACCAACCCAACCCACUUUCUCAUUUACUUCAUCUUUUCAAUCACGUGUAUGCACAACUACAGGGAAUUAGAUUUGUUUACCCCAAACUAAUACAAACAAGUUUGCUAAUGGAACAAAUAGUGCAUAACUAUAAUGGCUGUUCCUUUUUUACUUGAAGUGGAUUAUUUCUCUGCUUAUCCCUCAAGAUACUGGCAUGGCACACUCAGUCUGUACAGACUCAUUUUGGCCUCUUGUUCAGCUAUAGCUUCAUUCAUGAUCAGCUUUCACAGUUUUUUAUUUCAUCCAGUAACUGAAGUUUGAAUGCUUAGGAGGCAUAGCUGCCUAUUUAACUCUGUUUCAAGGUUUUCCUUUGUCAUAUUUGCUAAAUAUUUAGUUCUUCCUAGACUACUUAUUCUCCACCUCUUUUGAUUUUGCAAGGCUAUGAAGGACCAUAUAUCUUCAGUGCAUAGAGAUAGUUGAUGUCUGAACAGAGCGUGUGGCAUGAAUAAGAGAACCCAGAGGGAAAUGAGUUUCAAGAUCCUAAUUUGAACAGCAGGCAGAAGUCAAAAUCAGGGUUUGAAAUUGCCCAAGACAGCAACUGUUAAAGUGCUUUCACUAAGUCCUACUCUCUUUUUUUCCCCAGUGAGCUCUCAUACAACUAUCUUGAAGCAAAGAAGCUUGUAUGUGUGCAAACACACCCAAGCUCUUGGCCACUUAUGUUUCCGCUGAUCUGUUUUAGGGGCAGCGUGUCUAACCUGAAAUUGUUUGCUCCAUAACUUCUCAAAAAGAAAUUGCUGUAAUGAGUUUGACUGAGGAUGCGACAGCAUUGCUUAUGUUCUCUUUUUAGAGGGCAGCCCUGUUGUUUUCUUCCACAUGGAAUUAGUUUCCCUGAUAUGCACAUAUGCAGAUCUUCCUCCCAAAAAAGUUCAGCCAUGACCUUUCUGUUUCUAUUCUGUCACCAUGUGCUGAUAAAAUCCAAAUCUCAUCCAGGGAGAAGGAAAAAAAAAAAAAAGGGAAAACACACACCCAACAAGAAGUGAGUUUAUAUAUAAAUAUUUUCAAAAGACUUUUAUACUAUAUAGGUAAUCCAAUCUAAUUGCAAACACCUUAAUGAGAUUCUGUUUCUAAGUUUCAGAUACACCAUCCAAGAUAUGUGUUUGAGAGUAAGCACUGGAAGGAAGGCAAAGAGCAGGAGAGUGAAAAAGUGACAAAGCUAUUACAGAAAUGUGGUAGCGCUACCUUUUUAUUAUUAUUAUUUUUAAAUUCAGCAGGAGUUUGUCACAACUGCAGUAGCCCACUGACUCAUUUUACACUGAAUAAUUUCCAGCAUUUCCAUGUAAUCACAUCUCAGGUACACAUACUGAAGACAAUUUUCUCAUGUUGCAAGCAUAAGUAUAUAGAAGAGGAGAGCAAGAAAGACCAAUAAGCUUCUGCUCACCUUGGCCCUUACAUUACUGAAGGAUACUUCCCUCUCCAAAAAUCUGAGAAAUUCACUGCCUCUGCACAGAGGAAGAAGACUGAAAGAACAGAACUGACUCAGACAAGCACAAUAAUUUCAGCUUCCAUUUUAUAGUUUGCAAAUUUUUGUGUAUAUAUGUCUUUCUCAAGUAGUUUGAAUGAAAUACAAGCUCCAGAGGGAAAAAAAAAAAAACAUGAUCAAUUUAUCUUAUUUAAUCUCUUGUUGAAGUGCUUUCAUACAUUUAGGAAGAAAAUAGAUCUCAGGAACAAUUUUUUCCUAAAUUUCCUUGCAUUUUUUGCCCCAGAAGUGAGGCAAAUCAGUAUUUUGACUACUGUUAGUUCUCAUUCCUUGCUUCACUAUAUCUUACAUUAGGGAUGCUAUGAACAGCUAACAGCACACAACAAUACUAAACUCUUAUGCAAGAUACAGCCUAGACCUUCAUAUGUCAGUUAAGCAUGAUCCACAUUUCACAAGACAAAUGAGAUCCGGUGACAAGAACAGACUGGUUACAUGCUUUCUUUGGUCAUGUUAUAUUCUUUCUUUCAUCCCAUUCAGUAAUUCAUUUCUUCGUCAGUCUUGUAUCCUCUCUUACGUAGCCUAAAGGGAUGGUAUGUGGAACCUUAAACCAGUUUCAAUCAAUGGGAUGAGGUCAGCCUUGAGAUUCAUGCGACAGGCAAGAUUAAAACGUGCUUGCCCCAAGUCUAAGCUGUCUGAAUAAGGCACCACGUUAUGCUGCCUCUGCUUGUUGUCAGGUUGAAUUGAAAACAAAAGUUAAAUUAAAAGACAGCCAGAUCAUUAUUUCUCCUUUCUGCCCCUUCCUCAAGCGCCUAAGGUCAUUUUCCCUAACAAAAACGAAAGCGCUUGUUGGAAGUGUUUUUGUGCUAAACAGCAGUGGUUAAUUUCUUGCAACUAAUUAGUUAUUCAAGUGAAAGUAUAACGAUCCUCCAACAUGAUUGAAAGUGCUUCAACCAAGUUUCCUGCUAACAGCAUACUUCUAGAGAAGGUGCAAUAAAUCAGCAGGGUUAUGGAAAUCUUUAAACAAAGCAUGUCUACGACAGGAACCCAUUAAAGAUGUAGCCAUGUAAUAUUUAUGUACCUAGCUGACUUGUGCUUUUAACCUAGCACUUUCAGCCAUAGCUUUUUAGCACCUGGGUCAUUCACUAAGAAUGAAAUUCACCCUAUCUGCUAAAAGCCAGCUUAAUGUCUCCGCAUUAGGUGUCCAGACAUAGAGUUUACAUAGGAUUUAAGCAGUGGAGCCCUCCCACUGAAUGGAAUUUCAUCCUGAGUUUUCCAAAGAAAAAUACAAAUAGAACACCUUUACACUGCGUAGUAUUUAAUUAUUGAAUUAAACUCCCCAGUUACCAUUAGAAGGGUUUUAGAAAUACCAUGAGGUAAGGAUGUAAAAAAAAGCCAACAACAAAAACAAAAGAUCAUGAACAACUGAAAUUCCCACAGUCUCUCAGAACAGCCAGUGUCACCCUAUGGUUGUAUAGAUUAUGGUUUUAUUAUUAUUUUUAGUGGUUACAGAGGCUGAUCUCUAAACCUGAUGCUCUCCGUAAAGGUGCUGACUGCACUGGAAUCUUUUUUGACAUACUACUAACCAGUACAGACUGGAUGUUUAAAUAUGCCCAGAAGUAGAAAAGAGCAAGACUCAGUUGUGUGGAAAUACAUUUUUAUUAUGUUUGGGCCUUUUGGAUGUUACAGAUGUAUAAAUCUGAUAGCCUUAGAUCUCCAAAAGAAAGAGAAAUCCUCUUUUCUCCCAUCAUAUUCUACUGCUUGUGCUGUGUGUUUACACGAAUUUUUAAAAACACACACAAGCACAUGUGAAGCAAAGGCAAUGUUUUCAUAAUCCCCAAAUCCUUUGGCUAUACAUGUUUUCCCUCAUCUGAUUCUGUCAUUUACUUUAUUGCCAGUCUUUUAAGUUCAUCUCCCACAGUUUUAAGAGACAGAACUUGGAUUCAUUAAUCAGUUUCAGUCAAGGUCCCAAAACUUGGUUUUUUUUCUCCCCCUUCUCCUGGCUUACUCUUCUGUCCUGCAGCAGAUAACUACAAAAAGGAAAACCUCACUGCUGUGAGGCUGGAAGAUGGGAGCUUCAAGAAAGUGUGUAGGAAUGAUGUUUCCCGGGAGUCUGGGAAAGGGGAGAAAGCAAAGAGGAUAUAAGAAAUUAGCAGGAAAAAGGGACUGAAGGACAAAAGAGAUUAAACAUCACUCUCCCUUCCUAAUAAAAUCAUCUUUGCUCUCACCAUAGGUUUUUUGGGCCAAUGACUACUUUCAACUCACAUUUUCUGUUGGAAAAAUAAAUUAAGAGUCCAGUUUAAUUUUGUCAGUAGAAAGUUUAAAGUGGUCACUGGAGCACAAAGUGCUUUUCAAAAGGCUGCUGAACUGAACAGGGACAAGGAGGAAGAUGCUGGGACAGUCACAAAAGUACAGACAAAUUAAAAACACUAUGAGUGUACCAAUUUUCAACAAAAUAGAUAAAAAGCUUUUAUAAGAGUUCCUGCAAUCCUAUAACUUUUGUUAUGGGCUUUGUUUAGACAAUACCUAAAAACACAAUUGCCAGAGCAGAAAACAAGUGUUUUGUGUGUUGAUCUUUAUAUAUAGGAAAACAACAGUAAGUGAACUAGGCAUCAACUUCAUGAACAUGUAAGAUUACUCUUCACCCAUGCUGUAAAUCAUUGGAUCUAGUACAAGUAAUUGUACUGCAAUGUUUUUUGCUAGGCUAAGCAUUUCAGCUGUGUGCCCAGUCCUUCCAAGUCUGAGCUUAUGCUGUAUUCAGAGCUUUGUAGGGUUUAGUCAAUAACAUGUUUGUUUUGAAUGGUUUUUCCUAGAUAACAGUAACACAAACCCAUAGCUUGUGUAACAAAAAUCCAAAGCUUGUUUACAUCAUUUAAUAUGCCUGAAAGAUUAAGCUCAAGACUGUAAAAAUAAUAAUGGAAAAAAAAAGCAGAAAAAGCACUUCUUUAGAAGGGUCUCUGCUGUUGCACUACCAGAAGGCAAAGAGCAUAUUACGUUAACUAUGGGCCAGAAACUGUUUUGCUCUUUUAAACCGCAGCAAUGACUUGCAUAAAAAGACUUCAAGGCAUUUCCUCUUCUCCCUGAAGAUAGCCAUAAGUCUUUCUACUGCCCUAGGAUGUGCACUGAAAUGACUGCAAGACAGGCACAUCUUUUGCAUCCUAAACAGCAGCCUUUAUUUAUCAAAACACACAGAACAUGCAAUGGAGAGUCAAAACAAAGCAAAACCAGCAAUUCCAACAAUCCUCAGAAAACUUUGUUCCGAAUUGAGCAGUAUGUCCUGCUCAUAGAUGGACGUUCCAUUGCCUGUUUAGCAAAUGCCCCUCAUUUUCUUAACUUAAAAUCAUGCCUUAAGAAAAUUAUUUCAUCAGCAUUUAUACAUAGACACCCAUGAAGUUUUCAACAUAGUCUUGAAUUUGUGGUUUAACCUUCAUGAAGCAUACUGUUAUUUUCAAGGAUAAAUUUGAAGCACAACCUCAUUUUAAAGUAUAUGUGGAAAAUACUGAGCUUGUCAGCAAUAAAUACCUCAGCGUAUAGAAAUUUCGCAAAGGAAAAAACCCACAAAAAUGCCAAAACAAUUACAGAAAAGCAGAUACUAUCAUCCUUACAUUUGCAGAAUAACAAUUCUAACUGAACGUCCUCUGCCUUUUGCUAGUACUGUGUGAUAUACAUAAUAUUUGCAAACGUGUACACGUAUAUAUUUUCCAUAUCUGCAUGCUACAUAAGAAGGUCCUGAUAUUUAAACAAAGCAGAGACAAAACCUAACAAGGUGUCUCUCAACCAGUGAGGACACAAAUCCCUCUCUAAGGGCCUGGGGCAGCGUGCCUCAAAUGCUAAUAGCUUGAGUUGUGUGCAAUAGCCCUAUAUUGUUUAUAUAGCACUUCACAUGUUCAAAGCACUAUGAGAUAUCAGCCAUCACUACACUUUUACGAGGCUCUAAGUAUUACCCACUAAAUGUUAGGGUUCAAAUGACUUGCUCUUGAUCAAAAGAAACUUUGUGCAGCAGGACCAUAAUUAUUUGAAUUCAGUAAUUCUGACAGUCCAUUCCUAUAGUGACAAAAAAAAAAGGGGGGGGGAGGGGGAAAUGGGAUAUUUAAAGCCAGUUGCAACUGCACUUUGUUCUGGCUAUGUUAAGUACAGGCAAUGUAGAAUCCCAAAGCUAACUCUCACAAAAAACAGCACCUCCAAAGAAAAUGAGAACUUCAAUGAUUUUUUUCCAUUUUAAAAGCACAAAUACAAAAACUGUUUUUUAAAGAAUUGGUCAUGUUUCUCUGAGUAUAUGUAUGUCAUUAUCACCGUGAAGAACCUAAAAUACUGUACAGAAACAGACCAGAAAACUUAAUAUGCGAGUCAUAUCAUCUGCUCUGAAACAGGUUCUCCUUUUUUGCUGCUGCUGUUUUGAUAAAGGUUUGGUUUUGAUUUUUUCUUCUUCCUUUAAAAAUCAGGAGGAGGAGCAGGCAAAGACCAAGGCAACUCGUGAUAGGACUUAAAUCACUACCCUUUAGUGAUACAUAAUAUCUUCCCAUUUUUAGACAGAUGUUCAUUCUAUGGAAACCUCAGUUGCCAUCGCUGAUACUUAUUAACUUAGAGUCAAAAUAUCAAGUCUCCCUUCCCAUGAAGGAAACACAAUGGAGCCGAUGGUGAAAACCAGCCAGUCACAGUUUUGCUACCUAAAACUAAAUCCUUCCUUGAAAUAAGGAAAGCGGUGCUCAGGGACAUGAUUUAGCAGAAGGUUGUUAGAGUUAGGGUAGUAUGGUUAGGUUGCUGUUGGACUUGAUGAUCUUUCAGGUCUUUUCCAACCUGAGCAAUUCUAUGAUUCUAGGAUUCUAAUAAAGGCUGAACUGGAUCGAUACUGAAGAUUUUUGUACUUACAGCUUAAAAAUCUUCAUGCAAAAAACAUAAAUAUUGAGAUUUCAAAAUGAGAGAAUGAAAACUUUUUUUUUAACUUUGCAUUUAGCACACAUCCUAUCAUACACAACUUACUUUCCAACAUCUUACAUUUAAACUUGCAUAUAUUGCCUUUCGUUUCCAUACAUACCAUAUGUUUUCAGAACACAGCCUCACAGUUACUGGCAUUCAAAUCUUAUCUGCAGGAUGACAUGGGAAAUAUGUAGUACUGAGACAAAAAUGUAGGCCUCUACACACAAUUCAGAUUCAACAAAUAAGAGAAGUGCUCCUGUUUAAGCAGGGGGAGGGUAAGAAAUUCCCUUCAAAAGCAGUACAUAGUACAGAGUUUAACUAACAGAACCUCUUGUGUUUUAGCCAAGUUGAUCAUGGUAUGCGUAACAUUUACCCUAUCUAUCCUACAGCUUCUAUUAGACAUUCUUGGGUACAGGCCACUCAGAACUCUAUGCCAGACUGUUUGCAAUAACCAAAAAUCCAAAGUUAUGUUACUGAGAGAGCUUCUAAAAUAUUAAAAAUUUAAGCACAAUGCCAGUAGGUGAGCAUUGCUUCACGGAUAUUAAUGUAAAAAGCAGUUACAAAUCUCCAUCUACUGACCUAAAGAACAGAUGUUUGCAUAUGGAUUUAUUAACAUAGAAAUAUGUGUAUAUCUUCCAUAAGUAAUAACGUGUCCCAGUAACAAAGAAUGAAGAACUGUUGUCCAAAAGGACUGGAAAAUGGCAUGCAGUAUUAGAAUAUACUCAACAAUUUCUUGGCUUUAAAUAUAAGACAAAGCUAAUAGGUCCAGCACAGUAAUCCUCCAUGUUGGAAAAACACAUUUUCAAACAAGACUAACAUGAAGGAAUACUCAAAUUGCAGAGUCCACUUCAAUUGUUGACAUGUAAAAGUACAUUUAGGUCAUAACAAAGCAACCAUGAUCUAAUAAAUAAGAAUAGCCAUUAAUUUUCAUUGAGUUAUUUUAAUGCAGUAAGCAAAAACCAACAAAAAUCAUAUUGCAUUGAGUAUUAAGGUGCGGGAGCAAGUCCAAAGAAGGGCAACAAGGCUUGUGAAGGGCUUGGUGAAUAUGUGCUAUGAGGAGUGACUGAAGGAACUGGGGCUGUUUUGUCUGGGGAAAAGGAGCUGAGGGGAGACCUUAUUGCUCUCUUCCAAUAUCUGAAAGGUGCUUAAGACCAAAAGUGGGGUUUGUCUCCUCACUGGUGACAGAAUAAGCGGAAAUGGCCUUAAGUUGUACCAGGGUAAGUUUAGGUUGGAUAUCAGGAAAAAACUUCUUAACUGGAAGGGUUGUUAAGCAGUAGAAUAGGCUCCCCAGGGAGGUGGUUGAGUCACCAUCCCUGGAUGUGUUUAAAAACCGUUUGGAUGUGGUGCUCAGGGACAUGAUUUAGCAGAGGGUUGGUAUGACAGUAUGGUAAGGUUGUGGUUGGUCUCGUUGAUCCUGAAGGUCUUUUCCAACCUGGGCAAUUCUGUGAUUUUAUGAUUAUCACAUGAAAUAUUGAUUUGGAAGGGUUUUUAAUAACAAAAUUUAAUGAAACAGUAAUCAGGUAAAAAUUUUGGUGAGCAAAGCAUAUUUUCAAACCCUAAAUACAUUCUUUUUGGAAGUACAGUGGAAUCUUUGACCAAAUAUCACGAUUGCUCCUCACAUUUGCCCUGCUCCUAAACUAGCCUGGCUAAUAAGCAUCCUACCUCAAACUGUCCUGUAAACACAUAAUACUACUUGACAGGUUUUACUUCAAAAGCACAGUCAGGUUUUGGAAAAUAGACCUGUUAAGAAACCUAGUUAAUGGCUACAAGCAUGUGAGCUUACAGGCUUGGAGAUGUACUGGUUUCUGGGCCAGCAGAACUACAAGAGAACCCAAGAGACUGCACACUGCACUGUGACACGUAUGCAUAUCACAGAAUUUUUGGUUUGGUUUAAGAACAGCCACAGUAUUACUUUUUCACCUCCAAAAAGCAUUUCCUGUGUGCCAUGCUAUUUUCCCCUUCUUUUCCAUUAGUCAAGAACAUGGCUAAUUCUGCAUAGCUUUAGAUUUCUCCAUACCAUUACAUACCAUUGCAGUAUUCUCUCCUGAUUAGGGUGACAAGCAUGAGUACUUUGAAACAUGAUACAGCUGCUACUCUUCUCCAGAAGUGGCUAUACUCCAGUAAAUACUCCCUGAAACAUCUUUUUCCAACAGAGGUUUAAAAACAUGUAACUAUGUUUCCAUAGGUUGACAGCAAUACAAAAACAUUUGAUCACCUAGCUGAAAAAUACUGGCCUUUAGCAUUACUGCAGAGGUAAUUAGAAGCCAUACUUCAACCAACUGCAGAAACAACUGCAGUUAGUGUUUGUAUAACACAAUUAGAGUCUUAUAUUACAGUGAAGGUUAUUGGGUUCUCUUCUUGCAAUUUUUAAGAUCAAAGAAGAAAUGAACACUUUUCAUUUUGUCAGGUAAAGACCUUCCUUUUGAUGGCUGUACAGAGUCUUUACUUCCAGCGUAUAACUCAGACAUUCAUGAAUAAAUUGAAUCUCUAAUAACAGUCAGCUGGAUUUAAUUCCUCCUCUUGAUGGAAGCACAGCACUGUCAAUACACAGUGAGAUUUAAUAUUGCUGUUAAUUUACUGCAGGUAAAAGGUAGAUGCUAGAUCUUCAUGUUGUAUCUAAAAAUAGCUUCAGAUAAACAGGGAAAAAAAAAAGAUGGUAAGAACUGAUGAAUGAUCAUUCUACUUCAUUUUUUUUUUUUUUUUCUCCAGAGGAACAUCCAGGUGCCAGCUGGUGGAAAGGCAGAUGCCACUGAUUGCAAUAGUCUUGCACCAGUUUACAUUGACAGAGUCUGAUCCUAUGUGCAUUAGAGUUACUUUUAGGCACUCACACUGGAACUCACUUCAGUGACAAUUAAAAAUAUAUCCACGCAUGACAUUACAUCCUGUCCCCAAGUGUAUGACUGGAAGCCUGUUGACAGUCUGUGGGAGAGGGCAAGUAGAAGUAGCCAAGAACUAUGUCCAUGAGAUAACUUUGUAAGAGGAGUAUUAACCCUAAUUUUCAGUUGUCUUUUUAUUUUUUUUUUAAUGUGACCGUUUGCCUACAGAAAAAAAAACUCAGCUCCACCUUGCAGUAGCAAUUCAAUGCUUGCAAAGGAAAAAACAAAAUAAACCAUGAUGCUGUAGACCGUGUAGAGUGUCUAAGUAAGUUAAAAAAAGACUGGUCUCAUCAUCUAGAAUUGUAAGAAACCCCCCGAACUGAGAUCUGUUUGUUCAACUAUUUGUUCCUGAAGAUGCAGCUCAUGUAGCAACUGAAGUAAUUGUUUGUCUGUACAGCGCAACACCCAUAACUCCAAUUUAGGUCAGGCCAUCAAGAAGAGGAAAAAGGACUGAAGAUGAGAUGCUCUACUUCACACAGUUGCCCUCUGGAAGGGCUGGCAAAGGCAGUCACUUAAAUUAAGUACAGGUCAUCAGACAGGAUAUCUAAUCUAUUCCUAAAACAGGCAGCUCUCGCAGUCCAAAUCCCUAUGGCCUUUACAGCAACACAACGAACUACUUCCUCAUGUACCUCUGUCAAUUCACGUUAGGUUCCUAUUUUUUUUUAAAGCGAUAUUUCUUGUACACCAUGACCCUAUUGCUCACAGCAAGGAAAGUGCUUUGGUUUAUUUAUGACCUACUAACCUUAAAUAAAAAAACCAUACAUCCAAUCUGAAUGUUCACAUAAGCCUGCAGAUCUGAAAUAAAACUUAAAGUAAAGCUGGCAUUUGUAAUAGCUAGCUAAGCCCAGUAAGGGAUUUAGAAAAAAAAUUAAAAUUAAAACCAGAUGAGAGAAGAUGAAAGCAUUUUUACCCUGCAUAACCUGCACACAUCAUGAAUGAUGGCUGGAGCUCAGGAAUACUUUUUUGUGUUUUUGUACUUACAAGUUUCAACCCACUUCAACAGCGGCUAGGUAACCAAGGAAAUACUGAGGUUUUCCCAUUACAGGGUGGGGAGGGAAUAAUAAUAACCCAUGAAAGUAAUUCCUUUUAAGAUGCAAUCCAUCCAGCCACGAGCUCUACACAGCUCCUCUCUUUCCCUUACACCCCAUCCUAACUGCCAGGUAUCAGUCUGGUCAGACCUCAUAUUGAAAUAUGAUGUGACAGAGGGAAGCAGGGAGUAAGACUGUAGGAAUAAGUACUGAAAGAAAUGGCAUAAAGAAGGAAAGUUUACAGCAGGGAAUAUGGGAAACACAAGUGACCCUAUAUAUGUUUUGCUAGAACAAUGCUGAACAGAUGCAAAUGCAGAAAAGACUAUUCAGUUGAAGAGUUUUAUUCUCUCAUAGCUCACCCUGAUCUAAAGAACACCCUUCCUCUACAUCCAUAGAGUUUAAUUGUGAUACGGUCAGUACAAAUAAGUGGGGAAAAAAAAGGAAAAAUAAAAAUCAAGCUUCAGACCUAAGAUAUCAGCAACAAACAACUCUUGCUGCUGAACCAGCAUCAAAUAAAGGGAGGAGAGAACAUCUCCACCACAGUUGGUUGGAACUAGAACUCACAGAUACUCAUGAUCACAGUGGAAUUCCUAAACAAAAGAAAAAAUCUACUAGAAAGGAGAAAUUUACGUUCCAUUCUUCUGUAGUUCUCCAGCAGGGUAUAUUAAUGCCUCUGUUCUUUAGAUAUAUUUGAUAGAAAUACAGUUAUCUGUACAAGAAGAGUAAUUUGUUGAAAGAAAUAGAUACAAAGUUCUUGACACAGCAUUUGUUUAAAAAAGAAUAUACGCAGGCAGUAUAUUUAUGACCUGAAGUCUUUUGGUGCUACCUCCCUUUAUGGUACUUUAAACAAAAUGAACAGAAAAUAUUUUAUAAAUAUUUUUAUUUAAAUGUAGAAAUCAAUGAGAGAGUACAAACUAGCUUGCCCUCUGGUAAAAGAUUUAACAAGUAGGAACUCCUAGAAUCCAAUGAAUCACUUACCAUUUCAGUGCAGCAAACUAAGAGCAGCCCUAACUAAAUGAACUGAGACCAACAAAGCUGCAAGAGAAUAACCUUCUGCAGGAGAAUUGCUAACAAGCACAAGUAAGGAAAAAUCCCUGUGUUACCAUUCUGUGCCUUGUGCUACAGCUUCAGCACUUCUUCCCAUAAAACAUUAAAAUUGUAACCCUAUAUGUUGUGUGUGUAAAAAUAUAUGUGUAUACAUAGAGUUAAAAGUAUAAGGAAAAAUUAGUUGGAAAGCUCAGAUAGAUGCUGGAAAAAAAGCUUGUGCUACUGUGGAAAUUGCUAUGCACUUCAAUUUGUAAUCAUCAAGUUCUGGAUAUAAACAGGUUGAAGACAAAAAAAGAAACAUGAAAAUAAAUUUAGGUCAUCAAACCUCGAUGUAAACUCAUCAAGAAGUGAAUACUGGCAGAUUUUACUCUGCUUACUUUAUAUUUUUAUUCUACUGGUAAAGUAUAAACUGUAACACUGAUUCACAAUAUUCUUGGCAGGAUCUGUUAAUAAACGGGUGAAACCUUAUGUUUCUGUUUGCUAUGAAGUUCAGUUUUGUAAUAACACAGACAACAUUAAUCAAUCGACUUCUGCCUGGAUGGCCAACAACAUAGUUACGGCUUGAAUAAAUGAAAUACCUUUUCUUUCCAUAGAAAGACAUGUGAGAAGCUGCCAGCUCCAUGCAUGAAGAAGGAAAUGGGAUAGACAGAGAAGGGUGCUGGUACUGGUAAGAGAAGAAUAACUGAAAUUACAUCAAUUGUAUGAUAAAAAUAAUCAUGUCAAUUUUGAUUUUCCCCCCUCCUUUCAGACAUUUAAGGAUGCUGUCAAGUCAAUGGAGUUCUCUUGUAGUGGUUGCUUCAGUGAACAUUCAACGCUGUCGGUGAGUUUGGAAUUUAAGUGAAAACCAUCGACCGUUGAUUGUACCCUCCAGCUAACCAUCCUCCUCCUUACUUCAUGCUUUCAGGCCUUCACACCGAAGAUAGAAACCUAACCAGCACAUGAGGUUUCUCCCCUACUCUGCCACGCUUUACAAAAAAGGUCACAAUCAACAUUCAUUGCUGUCGGUGGGUUUAACUAUGUGGACAAGCUCACUGAACAAUGAAUGCAACUGUGGCCCCACAUUUUACAGGUGCAUUUGGGAGGAAUGUCAGCUCUGAAAGGAAUAGUGAGAAACAGACAUUUCUUAUAGGUUACGUUUUUCUGGUCAAAAAUUUGUUAAGGAUAUUCAAUUAACUCUUCUUUGUUAUUAAAUGUAUUUAACUAUGUUGACUAAAAAAAAAAAGCACUGCAUUUUUCUGGAAUAUCACCCUCACAGGGUUCAGCACCUCUGAAACUGAAAUAAUGCUUGUUCAGUAUGUAUGUGGAAAAAAGUAAUAAUAUAGAGAACUUGGUAUAUAUGUACUCCUCAGGACUACGCAUAAGAGGAAAGAGUAUUUAAAUGUUAAAUCUUAAUUAACUAGGUAUUAUGGAAUAGUUUACAGAAGUCUCUUCUAUACUUGUCAAGACAAAACCAGAACUUUUCUAGUGGACAGGUAACAGAAAUAGAUGUAUACCCACUAUCAAAUAGUUAAAUCGUAAAAUUACUCUAAACUUCGGUACUUGUGUCACACUCAGUAUUGCUAACACUAAUGAAAAAAUAAAAGUGUAAUUAAAGCUCACUGUUCUGUCCUUAUUUUCUUACAACCUUUGUUUAACCCAGCUGGAAAAAACAGAGCCCAGCCUACAUUUCUACCUUUCAGAAGUCAUCCAAGGUAAGUGCAAGCCUUCACACAGCACAGUUUCAAUAUUCCGCAGUAGAGUUGCUUCUAACAUUUAGGAAAUCACACGACGUUCCUAGUUUCUCCUGAUAGACCCUCUUAAAAGCUGGGGUCUGUUAACAAUACUUCAGUUUGAUUAUCUACACAGUAACUGGAAUAGGAUACAACCAUCAGGGCUAUCAUGGGAGGAAACAUCUGUACCUGCUUUGUGAACCGUAUAUUAACAGCCUAGCUAAAUAAUAACAGUUUAAGUAAUCAAAGAGAUCAGUCCUCAAUCACAUGCAAGAUUAUAUUUGAAUAACUGAAUUUUUAAUGAAAAGAGAGGCACACUACUGAAUUAAAAUCAAUGGCUGAAAGAAGUGCGUUGUUUUUUUCAUUCUGAUAUUUACUACCAAAUAAUCUACAGAAUGUACUGAGGCCAGGGGCAGCAGUUAAGUACUAAUAGGAGGAGUGGCUAUGGAUACGUGACUUCUCAGCGACACUGCAUAGAGAACCCUAGGUUCUAUCUUAAAGUUCACUCGUUUCUACACAGCAAUGAGUACUUGAAUAACUAUCAAAUUAUAUAUAUGGAUCACAAUACAAGCAAGUUAUAUAUUCUAUCUAGAAGGACAAACUUACAUGUUCAGUUGCAGCUACUUCAUACUUGCCUAAUUUCUGCAUUUAUUACUUUUACUAACGUGACUUAAUUGUGUUAUGCAUUAAUAAACACUGAAGAUGUUACUGAAGUUUGUGGAAUUAAGCAGCAGUGGAAAGAACCAGCAUCCUAGCAUGUUAUCACCUUCAAGCACAACAGAAGAAAAUACAAAAAUAAACCAUACUGCAACUGAUAAUGGUUGAACAAUACAAUUGUUGUAGGGACACAGGAUCCAGUGCAAGAAAAAGGUUAGUUAUAGGGUAGGGGGGAAGGUGAGGGGUUGAUGGCACUCUCUCAAAAUGCACAGAUGUUUUACCUUUUAGAAAAUAUCUACAGUAAUAUUGUUGCCUUGCGUAAGUUGUGUCAGUGAUUUUAAUCAUAGAAUCGCUAAGGUUGGAAAAGACCCACAGGAUCAUCCAGUCCAACCAUUCGCCCUUCACCAAUGGUUCUCACUAAACCAUGUCCCUCAACACAACAUCCAAUCACUCUUUGAACACCACCAGGGUCGGUGACUCCACCACCUCUCUGGGCAGCCCAUUCCAGUGCCUGACCACCCUUUCAGAGAAGUAGUAUUUCCUAACGUCCAGCCUGAACCUUCCAUGGCGCAGCUUAAAGCCAUUGAAGCCAUAAUCACGCUUUCAUAUCAAGAUUAAGAAUCUCCAUAGUGUACAAAUACACAUUAUUUCAUACAGUUUGAUAAUUUUAUAUCUCCAUUAAUUUACAGGAUGCUCAUGGGCAAAGCAAUACCACACCUGAUAAGAGAGACUGCUUUUCACACACAUCCUUUACAUAAUGAAGCAAAAGUGAUCCCCAUUCAGCAACAGUAGCUGUGAAACUGAAGUUCCUUGGUCAUUUUCAGGGUUGUUAGUUUUUUUUUUUGUUGUUGUUGUUGUUAAUAUGAUACAUCCAUGCUCAAUACAGUAUCCGUGGGCUACAGAGACCUUCCAGAAAAUUGCUCCUUGGUAUCACUGUAAAUAAUUCACUCACAACAAUAUUUUUAGGUCAAGCAUAUCAAAAUUACAGGAAAUGUAAUGGACCUUGACAUAAUAGGAGCACUAGUUUCAAAGCAGUGAAGGAGGAGGAGAAGGAACAUACUUUCCACACACAGCUCAGUCACAGUUUCCCAGUGUCCACAAUACUGUGCUUGAAACAGGAGAGGCAGUACCAAGUGGUUGCUGCUAAGUUUGGAGUCACUGAGGUUUUACUUAACUCCAGACAUAGUUCUGUUUUUCCUGACUUCUGGAGCAAAAUGGGUGAAAGCAGUUCAGAUCCAGCAGUUUCUGCGUCAAGCCUCUAACUCCUGUUUACCAAGCACAGAAAGACAUUCCACCUUACCUUUCAAACUACAACACAAUGAAUACCUAUGAAAACCAUACGUGAUUCAGGACUACAGCAAAAUGAAAACAUUACACUGUCCAGAGCAGACUAAAAACACCACAAUAACAUUUCUUGCUUUACAGAUGGUAAAGAGAAGAAAUACAGUAGAAGUUAAAUAUAGAAAUAGUUUGUAUCUGUAUGUAGUAGUCUGAACUGGAAGUAGUAUCUAGAUCUUGCAUUCGAGCCAUGCGUCUUACACUGGAAGAAGGAGUAUUGUAAUUUUGACAUGAAAACCGUAUUUUCCUUCUUGCUGAUCGCCCCUUUUUCCUAAUCAAAUGAUAUUUAUUUUUUCUCUCUAGAGUUAUCAUCCACUCCAGAUUAAUAUCUGUAUCUUGCCCUCACUUUCUUCUAUUCUUCUGUAUAAUUCUCUUAACUUCUUCAAAAAAAAAUUAGUCUUCCUGAGCUUCCUCUUUUAGCACAAGUGCCAGAAAUGCAGACUGUGUUCCAAAUAGCCCAGCCAAAGCUAGCUGAAGUAGUCUGAUGUCUC